CCCUUAGAUGUUCUGGGCCGCACGCGCGCUACACUGAUGCAUUCAACGAGUCUAAAACCUGCUCUGAUAGGGGUGGGUAAUCUUUUGAAUGUGCAUCGUGAUUGGGAUAGAUGAUUGCAAUUUUUCAUCUUCAACGAGGAAUGCCUAGUAAACGCAAGCCAUCAGCUUGCAUUGAUUACGUCCCUGCCCUUUGUACACACCGCCCGUCGCUCCUACCGAUUGAAUGAUCCGAUGAAUAUCAUGGAUUGAGGAUGCAAGUAGGUUAGCCUAUCUUCAUCUUCGAGAAGUGAAGUAAAUCUUAUCAUUGAGAGGAAGGAGAAGGCGUAACA
rnacentral:rRNA from 1 species